UGACCAUAUCAUGUUGGAACACCAGUUCCCUAUGGUCACUGAAGUUAAACAAUGUUGAGCCUGAUCAGUACCUAGAUGGGUGACUGCUUGGGAAUACCAGAUGUUGUAA